CCUACGGGAGGCAGCAGUGGGGAAUUUUGGACAAUGGGCGAAAGCCUGAUCCAGCAAUGCCGCGUGAGUGAAGAAGGCCUUCGGGUUGUAAAGCUCUUUUGUCAGGGAAGAAACGGUGAGAGCUAAUAUCUCUUGCUAAUGACGGUACCUGAAGAAUAAGCACCGGCUAACUACGUGCCAGCAGCCGCGGUAAUACGUAGGGUGCAAGCGUUAAUCGGAAUUACUGGGCGUAAAGCGUGCGCAGGCGGUUUUGUAAGUCUGAUGUGAAAUCCCCGGGCUCAACCUGGGAAUUGCAUUGGAGACUGCAAGGCUAGAAUCUGGCAGAGGGGGGUAGAAUUCCACGUGUAGCAGUGAAAUGCGUAGAUAUGUGGAGGAACACCGAUGGCGAAGGCAGCCCCCUGGGUCAAGAUUGACGCUCAUGCACGAAAGCGUGGGGAGCAAACAGGAUUAGAUACCCUGGUAGUCCACGCCCUAAACGAUGUCUACUAGUUGUCGGGUCUUAAUUGACUUGGUAACGCAGCUAACGCGUGAAGUAGACCGCCUGGGGAGUCGGUCGCAAGAUUAAAACUUAAAUGAAUUGNGG
rnacentral:rRNA from 1 species